rnacentral:tRNA from 1 species
AUUUAGAUAGCUUAAAUUAAAGUUUGAUAUUGAAGAUAUCAGGAUGAUAUAAAUCUCUAGAUA